GACGAACGCUGGCGGCGUGCUUAACACAUGCAAGUCGAACGGAAAGGCCCUGCUUUUGUGGGGUGCUCGAGUGGCGAACGGGUGAGUAACACGUGAGUAACCUGCCCUUGACUUUGGGAUAACUUCAGGAAACUGGGGCUAAUACCGGAUAGGAGCUCCUGCUGCAUGGUGGGGGUUGGAAAGUUUCGGCGGUUGGGGAUGGACUCGCGGCUUAUCAGCUUGUUGGUGGGGUAGUGGCUUACCAAGGCUUUGACGGGUAGCCGGCCUGAGAGGGUUACCGGCCACAUUGGGACUGAGAGACGGCCCAGACGCCUACGGGAGGCAGCAGUGGGGAAUAUUGCACAAUGGGCGGAAGCCUGAUGCAGCAACGCCGCGUGCGGGAUGACGGCCUUCGGGUUGUAAACCGCUGUCGCCUGUGACGAAGCGUGAGUGACGGUAAUGGGUAAAGAAGCACCGGCUAACUACGUG
rnacentral:rRNA from 1 species